CCUACGGGAGGCAGCAGUGAGGAAUAUUGGUCAAUGGACGAGAGUCUGAACCAGCCAAGUAGCGUGAAGGAUGACUGCCCUAUGGGUUGUAAACUUCUUUUAUAUGGGAAUAAAAUGUUCCAUGUGUGGGAUUUUGUAUGUACCAUAUGAAUAAGGAUCGGCUAACUCCGUGCCAGCAGCCGCGGUAAUACGGAGGAUCCGAGCGUUAUCCGGAUUUAUUGGGUUUAAAGGGAGCGUAGGUGGAUUGUUAAGUCAGUUGUGAAAGUUUGCGGCUCAACCGUAAAAUUGCAGUUGAAACUGGCAGUCUUGAGUACAGUAGAGGUGGGCGGAAUGCGUGGUGUAGCGGUGAAAUGCUUAGAUAUCACGAAGAACUCCGAUUGCGAAGGCAGUUCACUGGACUGCAACUGACACUGAGGCUCGAAAGUGUGGGUAUCAAACAGGAUUAGAUACCCCUGUAGUC
rnacentral:rRNA from 1 species